CAACCUGCCGAUAACUCGGGGAUAGCCUUUCGAAAGAAAGAUUAAUACCCGAUGGUAUAAUUAGACCGCAUGGUCUUGUUAUUAAAGAAUUUCGGUUAUCGAUGGGGAUGCGUUCCAUUAGGCAGUUGGUGAGGUAACGGCUCACCAAACCUUCGAUGGAUAGGGGUUCUGAGAGGAAGGUCCCCCACAUUGGAACUGAGACACGGUCCAAACUCCUACGGGAGGCAGCAGUGAGGAAUAUUGGUCAAUGGGCGCAGGCCUGAACCAGCCAAAUAGCGUGAAGGAUGACUGCCCUAUGGGUUGUAAACUUCUUUUAUAUGGGAAUAAAGUAUUCCACGUGUGGGAUUUUGUAUGUACCAUAUGAAUAAGGAUCGGCUAACUCCGUGCCAGCAGCCGCGGUAAUACGGAGGAUCCGAGCGUUAUCCGGAUUUAUUGGGUUUAAAGGGAGCGUAGGUGGAUUGUUAAGUCAGUUGUGAAAGUUUGCGGCUCAACCGUAAAAUUGCAGUUGAAACUGGCAGUCUUGAGUACAGUAGAGGUGGGCGGAAUUCGUGGUGUAGCGGUGAAAUGCUUAGAUAUCACGAAGAACUCCGAUUG
rnacentral:rRNA from 1 species